rnacentral:rRNA from 1 species
AGGGCACCACCAGGAGUGGAGCCUGCGGCUUAAUUUGACUCAACACGGGAAAACUCACCCGGCCCGGACACUGGAAGGAUUGACAGAUUGAGAGCCCUUUCUUGAUUCAGUGGGUGGUGGUGCAUGGCCGUUCUUAGUUGGUUGAGCGAUUUGUCUGGUUAAUUCCGAUAACGAACGAGACUCUAGCCUACUAAAUAGAUCGUCGGCUUACAAACGCCGAUGAGACUUCUUAGAGGGACAGGCGGCGAUUCAGCCGCACGAAACAGAGCAAUAACAGGUCUGUGAUGCCCUUAGAUGUCCGGGGCCGCACGCGCGCUACACUGAAGUGAUCAGCGUGCAUUUUCAGCCUACUCUGCCAAGAGUGGGAAACCCAAUGAACCUUCUUCGUGAUUGGGAUAGGGGAUUGUAAUUAUUCCCCUUGAACGAGGAAUUCCCAGUAAGCGCGAGUCAUAAGCUCGCGUUGAUUACGUCCCUGCCCUUUGUACACACCGCCCGUCGCUACUACCGAUUGAAUGUUUU